rnacentral:snRNA from 1 species
GAAUGUGAGGGUGAUCUGUCUGUAAUUUCUGUCAUUUCACUGAUUACCAAGGUUGAUUCAGGUAAUCUGGCUGGCUAGGCAGGUAUCCCCUUCAUGGAUGCUUAUGCCUCCCUCCCAAAGCUGCGCACUGGGUCUAAGAUAGAAGAGGACUGUCUUUGAUUAAGGGUAUAUGAAUAGCUGCACUCCCCUGCUAGAAUCUCCAAAAGAAGUUCUCAAAAAUACCUAGGACCCCUGUGCUUGGUCCCCAUAGCACAGUGGUUAUAGCACUGGCCACAUACACUGAGGCUGGUGGGU